GCCUUCGUGGUAUAGUGGUCAGCACGCUCGACGCGUAACCGCGAUGUCCGUGGUUCAAUUCCCGGCGAAGGCG
rfam:Stegodyphus mimosarum contig34972, whole genome shotgun sequence.